GACGAACGCUGGCGGCGUGCUUAACACAUGCAAGUCGAGCGGUAAGGCCCUUUCGGGGGUACACGAGCGGCGAACGGGUGAGUAACACGUGGGUGACCUGCCCUCAGCUCUGGGAUAAGCCUGGGAAACCGGGUCUAAUACUGGAUAUGACUCCAUGACGCAUGUUGUGGGGUGGAAAGCCUUGUGCGGCUGAGGAUGGGCCCGCGGCCUAUCAGCUUGUUGGUGGGGUGANGGCCUACCAAGGCGACGACGGGUAGCCGGCCUGAGAGGGCGACCGGCCACACUGGGACUGAGACACGGCCCAGACUCCUACGGGAGGCAGCAGCGGGGAAUCUUGCGCAAUGGGCGAAAGCCUGACGCAGCGACGCCGCGUGAGGGAUGAC
rnacentral:rRNA from 1 species